rnacentral:rRNA from 1 species
CUAGCUACAGGCUUAACACAUGCAAGUCGAGGGGCAGCAUGGUCUUAGCUUGCUAAGGCCGAUGGCGACCGGCGCACGGGUGAGUAACACGUAUCCAACCUGCCGUCUACUCUUGGACAGCCUUCUGAAAGGAAGAUUAAUACAAGAUGGCAUCAUGAGUCCACAUGUUCACAUGAUUAAAGGUAUUCCGGUAGACGAUGGGGAUGCGUUCCAUUAGAUAGUAGGCGGGGUAACGGCCCACCUAGUCUUCGAUGGAUAGGGGUUCUGAGAGGAAGGUCCCCCACAUUGGAACUGAGACACGGUCCAAACUCCUACGGGAGGCAGCAGUGAGGAAUAUUGGUCAAUGGGCGAGAGCCUGAACCAGCCAAGUAGCGUGAAGGAUGACUGCCCUAUGGGUUGUAAACUUCUUUUAUAAAGGAAUAAAGUCGGGUAUGUAUACCCGUUUGCAUGUACUUUAUGAAUAAGGAUCGGCUAACUCCGUGCCAGCAGCCGCGGUAAUACGGAGGAUCCGAGCGUUAUCCGGAUUUAUUGGGUUUAAAGGGAGCGUAGAUGGAUGUUUAAGUCAGUUGUGAAAGUUUGCGGCUCAACCGUAAAAUUGCAGUUGAUACUGGAUAUCUUGAGUGCAGUUGAGGCAGGCGGAAUUCGUGGUGUAGCGGUGAAAUGCUUAGAUAUCACGAAGAACUCCGAUUGCGAA